GACGAACGCUGGCGGCGUGCCUAAUACAUGCAAGUCGAACGCUUUUUCUUUCACCGGAGCUUGCUCCACCGAAAGAAAAAGAGUGGCGAACGGGUGAGUAACGAGUGAGGAACCUGCCUUGAAGAGGGGGACAACAGUUGGAAACGACUGCUAAUACCGCAUGAAGCAUAGGGGUCGCAUGAUUCUUAUGCCAAAGAUUUAUCGCUUCAAGAUGGCCUCGCGUCUGAUUAGCUAGUUGGCGGGGUAACGGCCCACCAAGGCGACGAUCAGUAGCCGGACUGAGAGGUUGAACGGCCACAUUGAGACGGAGAUACGGCCCAGACUCCUACGGGAGGCAGCAGUGGGGAAUAUUGGGCAAUGGGCGCAAGCCUGACCCAGCAACGCCGCGUGAAGGAAGAAGGCUUUCGGGUUGUAAACUUCUUUUAAGAGGGAAGAGCAGAAGACGGUACCUCUAGAAUAAGCCACGGCUAACUACGUGCCAGCCGCCGCAGUAA
rnacentral:rRNA from 1 species